rnacentral:rRNA from 1 species
UACGUAGGCAGCGAGCGUUGUUCGGAGUUACUGGGCGUAAAGAGUGCGUAGGCGGUUUUCUAAGUUUGGUGUGAAAUCCCCCGGCUCAACUGGGAGGGUGCGCCGAAGACUGGAAGGCUUGAGUAUGGGAGAGGUAAGCGGAAUUCCUGGUGUAGCGGUGAAAUGCGUAGAUAUCAGGAGGAACACCUGUGGCGAAAGCGGCGCACUGGACCAUAACUGACGCUGAUGCGCGAAAGCUAGGGGAGCAAACAGG